GUAGAAAAAAAAAAAUAGUAGGUCUACCGUACUAUUAGAAGUAUAAUAGCUCGUAUGCUCUUAAGUUUCUAGUCAUUCAUCAAUUUUAAUGGAUGAUUACAAUAAGAGAAAAAAAACAAAUUUGAGAAAAAUUUUAAAAAAGGAGAUAUUGAGACAUCUAAUUUUUCUCCGAUUUCUCUUCUUUUUCUCAUCUUAACUGCUUAUCAAAAUUGAUGAAUGGUUAGAAAUUUAAAAGUAUAUAGGUUAUUGUACUCCUAAUAAUAUAGUAGUGUUAUUCUGUCUGUUUGUCUGUCUGUCUGUCUCUCUCUCUAUAUAUAUAUAUGAUUAC
rnacentral:lncRNA from 1 species